rnacentral:rRNA from 1 species
UACGUAGGGUGCAAGCGUUGUCCGGAAUUAUUGGGCGUAAGGAGCUCGUAGGCGGUUUGUUGCGUCGGCUGUGAAAUCCCGAGGCUCAACCUCGGGCCUGCAGUCGAUACGGGCAGACUAGAGUGCGGUAGGGGAGACUGGAAUUCCUGGUGUAGCGGUGAAAUGCGCAGAUAUCAGGAGGAACACCGGUGGCGAAGGCGGGUCUCUGGGCCGUAACUGACGCUGAGGAGCGAAAGCGUGGGGAGCGAACAGG